GCCAUUGACGUCACCGGCAUCGACGGCGCUCCUCUCCAGCCUCGUGCCGCUGCUGGCAAUCGCGGUUCUGGCUAUGGCUUCGGCCCCAGGAGGAAUGGCGCGGGCGCUGGCGGUGCCGCGUGCUACCAGUGUGGCGAUUUCGGUCACCUCGCCAGGGACUGCAACCGGAGCACCAAUUCCGGCGGCGGAGGUGGUGGUGGGUGUUUCGUUUGCGGCGGGUUCGGUCACCUCGCAAGGGAUUGCGCGCGCGGAGGAAACAUCGGCGGUGGAGGCGGCGGAAGCGGCUCUUGCUUUAGGUGUGGAGGAUUUGGACACAUGGCGAGGGAUUGCGCCACGGCGAAAAGCGUCGGUGUUGGUGGUGGUGGUAGUGGUGGCGG
rnacentral:lncRNA from 1 species